rnacentral:rRNA from 1 species
GGGGAAUAUUGCGCAAUGGGGGCAACCCUGACGCAGCAACGCCGCGUGCAGGAAGAAGGUCUUCGGAUUGUAAACUGUUGUCGCAAGGGAAGAAGACAGUGACGGUACCUUGUGAGAAAGUCACGGCUAACUACGUGCCAGCAGCCGCGGUAAUACGUAGGUGACAAGCGUUGUCCGGAUUUACUGGGUGUAAAGGGCGCGUAGGCGGACUGUCAAGUCAGUCGUGAAAUACCGGGGCUUAACCCCGGGGCUGCGAUUGAAACUGACAGCCUUGAGUAUCGGAGAGGAAAGCGGAAUUCCUAGUGUAGCGGUGAAAUGCGUAGAUAUUAGGAGGAACACCAGUGGCGAAGGCGGCUUUCUGGACGACAACUGACGCUGAGGCGCGAAAGUGUGGGGAGCAAACAGGAUUAGAUACCCUGGUAGUCCACACCGUAAACGAUGGAUACUAGGUGUAGGAGGUAUCGACCCCUUCUGUGCCGCAGUUAACACAAUAAGUAUCCCACCUGGGGAGUACGACCGCAAGGUUGAAACUCAAAGGAAUUGACGGGGGCCCGCACAAGCAGUGGAGUAUGUGGUUUAAUUCGAAGCAACGCGAAGAACCUUACCUGGGCUUGACAUCCCUGGAAUCGAGUAGAGAUACUUGAGUGCCUUCGGGAAUCAGGUGACAGGUGGUGCAUGGUUGUCGUCAGCUCGUGUCGUGAGAUGUUGGGUUAAGUCCCGCAACGAGCGCAACCCCUAUUGUCAGUUGCCAUCAUUAAGUUGGGCACUCUGGCGAGACUGCCGGUGACAAAUCGGAGGAAGGUGGGGACGACGUCAAAUCAUCAUGCCCCUUAUGCCCAGGGCUACACACGUACUACAAUGGCCAAUAACAAAGUGCAGCGAAACCGUGAGGUGGAGCGAAUCACAAAACUCGGUCUCAGUUCAGAUUGCAGGCUGCAACUCGCCUGCAUGAAGUUGGAAUUGCUAGUAAUCGCGGAUCAGAAUGCCGCGGUGAAUACGUUCCCG